AUUGAACGCUGGCGGCAGGCCUAACACAUGCAAGUCGAACGAGUGGCGGACGGGUGAGUAAUGUCUGGGAAACUGCCUGAUGGAGGGGGAUAACUACUGGAAACGGUAGCUAAUACCGCAUACCAUCGGAUGUGCCCAGAUGGGAUUAGCUAGUAGGUGGGGUAAAGGCUCACCUAGGCGACGAUCACUAGCUGGUCUGAGAGGAUGACCAGCAAUACUGGAGCUGAGACACGGUCCAGACUCCUACGGGAGGCAGCAGUGGGGAAGAUUGCACAAUGGGCGCAAGCCUGAGGCCACCAGGCCGCGUGUAUGAAGAAGGCCUUCGGGUUGUAAAGUACUGUCAGCGGGGAGGCGUUACCCGCAGAAGAAGCACCGGCUAACUCCGUGCCAGCAGCCGCGGUAAUUC
rnacentral:rRNA from 1 species